GAUGAACGCUGGCGGCGUGCUUAACACAUGCAAGUCGAACGGAAAGGCGUUGCUCGAGGGGCGCACGAGUGGGGAACGGGUGAGUAACUGGUGGGUGAUGUGCCACGCACUCCGGGAUAAGCCGGGGAUACUGGGUAUAAUAAGGGACAGGAGCCAUAAUCAGCGUGAGGGUGGGAUCGUGUUUGCGGUGUAGGAUGAGCUGGCGGCCUAUUACCUUGUUGGUGGGGUAGUGGUGUACCAAGGGGGCGACGGGUAGCUGGCCUGUGAGGGUGGACGACCACACUGGGACUGAGUGACAGCCCGGACUCCUACGGGAGGCAGCAGGGGGGAAUGAUGCACAAGGAAUGGGAGCCUGACUCAGCGAGGCCGCGUGCGUGGUGACAGCCGUCGUGUGGGAAGCGCCUUUCGCUACGGACGGAAGUAGCUAUGACGGUACCUGGAGAAGAAGCACCGGCUAACUACGUG
rnacentral:rRNA from 1 species